AAAAAUAUGUUUGUAGCAUACCUAAUCUAUGUAAGAAAUAGAACUCUCCUACAGAAAGUUGAGUUCAAAGGAAGCAUAAUCAUGACUUCCAAACGUUAAGUGCUAUCCUAAGUUGCACGCAGAAAAUGCUCUUUACUAUAUAUUUACUGGAGCACUCUGCACGCAGGAUAUGUACCAGUAAAUUGCCAUGCCAACAAUCACAGUAGUCCACGAAACAACGGUUCUCUUCCUUCCAUGUUCCUAACAAUUUGAUAGCUUCAUCAACAUUAGCACACUUUGCAAACACGUCAAUCUGAGCAUUACAAAGCUCAAAAUGUCUUUUGAACCCUUUCCUUCUCGAUACAAGACUCUACCCACUUCCCUAAUUUAAGAGCACCUAAAUCUGUGCGGGCAGACAGAAAUGAGGCGGUCUGCAUUUGCCUGAGCAAACCAAUCCCAUCAAUACACCUCCCUAAACGCUGGGGUGUACUCAUUCUAUAAUUUGCCUCAACUGUCAGAUGCUUUCAGAAAAACGGCAGCGUUAUUGGAGGCCCAUCCACCUUCGUCCAACGUUUAAAUUCCCGUCCACCUCAUCUAUUUCGUCCCACAACCCUUCAGACUCCUCCAUGUGGCUCAUUAUUGUAGGCCCACGUCACCCUAUUUUGACCUCCACAUCGUGUUUUUGUAAUGCAUCAGACAACGUUGCCGCUGCUAAAGUUGGCCAGUUACAGUUGCAGAAAGCCAGAAAACCUUACGACUGGUGAGAUUGAAAAGAAGAAGAAGAAGAAAUCUGGAACAAAAUGAGAAGAGUAUCCUCAAUUCCUUCGCUUAUAUCUAUCGGGUUUGUUCGACGAAGAAUAAUCUCCAAUAAAUCUCAAAUCAAUGUCCUUCGCCUUUCCUCCGAUGAUCCUUCCCGUCUUUCCUCCCCACCGCCUCCAGCUGAACUUGGUGUCAAAAUUGGAGGACCACUGUGAGAUAGUGCUGAUUGGAAGUGAGAUUCAUUAUCGACGUUUUAUAGCUCAAAGAUCUAAAGACCAGGUGAGGUGCUAUGCAGUUAUACUUGGAUUCCUUGCAUUUUCAUGUAUACUUUGUUAGUUCAUCUGCCUUCCAGAUUUGCUUCAUUUUAGUAUCUUUAUAUUUGUUAGUGGUUUUAAUAUCUUGACAUUCUACGCAAUAGAAACAACUGAAAUACUCACAAUUUAUUUUCAAAAUUUCCAAUUUCACAGUUUGAUUCUAAAUAUUAUUAAUUUUGAAGAUUAUUUUCUCUUCAAAUCUUCACUUGUUCAACUAUUCUGAGCAAGGUACAGUCCCAUGAUGUUUCUCAUGGUCAUUAAACUUACCGUGUUUCUUUUGGUUGUAUACGUCAAUUCUAGGUUGCCAUUUCUCAGAUUUAUUUUAUUCUAUUAUUAUAAAUUUCCUAAUCAUGAUCUGAGUAUAGGGAAAUGCCAGUCUCUUAGUACUGAAGCCAAGGCUGACAGAUAUGAUUUAUCUCCCAUAAUUCAUCAAAUGAAGGGUAUUCCUCUUGCAGCUCCCUGGAAAGUCUUUUCAGUGUCCUUUUGUUCUUAGAGUAGUUCCAUCAGUUCUUGCAGAUCUACUAAUCUAUUUAAAUCGGCUAGAUAGAGUCGAUAACUGUUAUCUGCUUGUUUUUGUGCAUUUGUUUCCAUCUAGUUGGUUGGAACUAAAAUUGCAAAUAUGCAGGUUCACUAUUUUUGGCCAUUGGAAAACAGUGUUGUGAAGGAAUUUGAGAAAAUUUGGUGUCAGG
rnacentral:misc_RNA from 1 species